UACCAGAAAAGUCCAAUAUGUCUCCUCGAUCUCUUCUAUAAAGCAAGAACUAACCCUAUCCUGGUUUUUGUGUUUCCAUGCGCUAGCUGCAACGAAGAGCUCUUUUAUCAUUUAGAAUCGACAACAAAAUCCUGAGCUCUUCAACCGUUUCGAAAUCAAUAUCCUUCUUAGUGCAGCUGGAGUGUUCCAAAGGGAUCGCAUUGAUCUAAUGACUCUCGAUGUCUAAAUCAUAUUAAUGUUUAGUCUUUUCGUUGGAUCAUGCGAUCCCUUAGGAAUUUUCCAGCAUUCAGCUCUAAAUUUCACCAUGUUUUCAAGACUUAUGAAUGAAAGGAUCAGUUUGCUUCCCAUCUUGUGUUAAUCUGAGAAAAAUUGAAACAACAGAUGGUCCUCGUGAUCGGCUAGCUAUCAAUAUUGAACCUACUUGCUUUGCUUUAUUCCUCAAGGGAAAUAAAUGUAUGUCAAGUGCUCCAUGUUAAGUUUGUA